GGCCAACUCAAAAUAGAAAAUAGUAUAUAUCAGAUAACAUCAUAAAAUCAACUAAUAUUCUUAGCAUGCAGCAUUUACAAUUACCAUAACCCUUGGUUACAACACCAAGCACAUCAAUGAGGACUCACGCCUCCUCAUCAUACUCAUUUGGGAAUCAGGUUCAUUAGAUUGAGUAUAUUAACAUCUUUCAAGAUUUAUUAUCUUUAUUCCUCUCGUGUCGGUACGUGACACUCCGCUCCUCAUAUACUAUCCUGGUGUCGGAACGUGACACCCGAUCCAUAUUCUAUCCUGGUACCGGAACGUGGCACCCGAUCCAUAUACUAUCCUGGUGCCGGAACGUGACACUCGAUCCAUAUACUAUCCCUGGUGUCGGAACGUGACACUCCGAUCCUCAUAUACUAUCCUGGUAUCGGAAUGUGGCACCCGAUCCCCUAAUCUCACUACUUUCGUUCAUCAAGCCUUCUUUUACACUAAGGCAUCAUCAUUAACAAAGUAGAUUAGGGUUUCUCAAGAUUUAGGAUUUAAUAGCUUCAUCAUGAUUAUUUUAUCACAAUUACAUAAUCACAUUCGUGCAAGCAUACAAUUAAGCAUAUAGAAGGGUUUACGAAACUACCCAUACAUAUCAUUCGCUAUUAAGAGUUUACUACGAAUAGUAUAAAAACCAUAACCUACCUCCACCGAAGAUUCGUGAUCAAGCAAGCAAUUUUCUCAAGGCUUUGUUUUCUCUUCGUUUCCCUCUUGUCUCGAUCGAUCCUCUUUCCUUUACCCUAAUUAGCAUAUAAUUAAGUAUAAAGAAUGAUGAAUUAACCCACUAAUUAACUCAAGGUUACCUCUUUUUGCCCCCAAAUAAUUGAGUUAUUAAUAUUAAACCACUAACUUCAUAAUUAUAAGCCGGAAUAGUCCAAAACGCCCCUUAAAAUAAUUACAGAAAUCCGACCCUGCCUGGGAUUAAGCAGCUUGUGACGGCCCGUCGUGCCUGCGACGGUCCGUCCUGCUGCUCCGUCACAGAGUUCAGAGACUCAAUUCCCUUAAAGAGUCUGUGACGGUCUGUCACGCCUGUGACGGUCCGUCUUGUUUUUCCGUUACGAAGUUCAGAGAGUCGAUUUCAGUACCCAUUUUUUAGAAUUUUUAAGUAAUUUGAAACGAGACCCCCUCGACGGUCCGUCGUGCCCAUGACGGUCCGUCGUGGGAUCCGUCGACUCAGCCAGUUUUUCCAGAAAUAAAAUCUCCUGCUCAAAACGACUAAACAGGUCGUUACAAUAGAUACCAAUUUACCCAUCGUUUGUCCUCGAACGAUCAUAAGAAGAAAAACAAGGGCGAAAAGGAGUACCUGAAUCUGUAGACAGGUGUGGGUAUCUUUCUUGCAUAUCUGCCUCCUUCUCCCAAGUGGCUUCUUUGACUGGUCGAUUCUUCCAUUGAACUUUGAUGGAUGCAAACUCCCUUGACCUCAGCUUGCGGACUUCCUAUCCAGAAUAGCAACAGGUUCCUCCUCAUAAGACAAAUUAUCAUCAAGCAAAACUGAAUCCCAACGGAUAAUGUAGUUUCCAUCCCCAUGGUAUCUUUUCAACAUGGACACAUGAAAUACCGGAUGCACUCCGGACAGCCCUGGAGGCAAGGCUAACUCAUAAGCCACCUCCCCUACUCGCUUAAGUACUUCAAAGGGACCAAUAUACCUUGGGCUUAGCUUACCCCUUUUACCAAACCGCAUCACCCCUUUCAUGGGUGAAACCUUCAGCAGGCUUGCUCACCCUCCAUAAACUCCAAGUCUCUAACCUUGCGAUCCGCAUAUUCCUUUUGCUUACUUUGCGCCGCUAGAAGCUUUUCUUGAAUAGAUUUCACUUUAUCUAACGAUUCCCUCAGAAGGUCAGUACCCCAAGGUCUAACCUCAAAUGCAUCAAACCACCCAAUGGGAGACCUACAUCUUCUCCCAUACAAUGCCUCGAAUGGGGCCAUAUCAAUACUUGAGUGAUAGCUAUUGUUGUAUGAGAACUCUGCUAAGGGUAAGAAGUUAUCCCAAUGACCACAAAGUCUAUCACACAUGCACGAAGCAUAUCCUCCAACACUUGAAUCGUUCGCUCAGACUGACCAUCGGUCUGAGGAUGGAACGCAGUACUAAGGUCCAACCUAGUACCCAAUUCCGCAUGCAAUGUUUUCCAAAACUUAGAAGUAAACUGCGUACCUCUAUAUGAUAUAAUGGAAAGUGGAACUCCAUGCAAUCGCACAACUUCCGAAAUGUAAAGUUUGGCUAACUUCUCUGCAUUGUAAGUCACCUUGACCGGGAUGAAGUGAGUCAAACUUCCCCAAUGUCUUUGGAAGACCAACCACGAAGUCCAUUGCAAUUCUCUCCCACUUCCAUUCAGGAAUGGGCAUUCUCUGAAGUGUUCCUCCGGGCCUCUGGUGUUCAUACUUUACUUGCUGACAAUUUGUACAUUUGGCAAUGAAAUCAACAAUGUCGCGCUUCAUUCUACUCCACCAAAAGUGUUGCUUUAGGUCACGGUACAUCUUGGUUGAACCAGGAUGUAUAGAAUAUCCGGAACUAUGAGCCUCUGUGAGAAUAGUGUGGAUCAAAUCAUCAACACGGGGCACACAUACCCUUCCCUUAAUUCUCAAAACACCUUCUUCAUCCAUUAUUGAUUCUUUAGCCUCUCCUCGCAACACCAUAUCCCGAAUUCGGCUUAAUUUCUCAUCGUCAAACUGUUUUCCCUUGAUCUUGUCAAGAAAAGAAGAUCUCGCCUCCACACUGGCCAGAAAUCCUCCCUUCUCAUUUACUUCUAACCUCAUAAAGUCGUUAGCCAGAGUCUGAAUCUCUCUAGCCAAUGGGCGUCUAGAAACUUGUAAGUGGGCUAAACUACCCAUGCUCCCUGCUUUUCUACUUAAGGCGUCUGCCACAACAUUAGCCUUUCCCGAAUGAUACAAAAUAGUGAUGUCGUAGUCCUUCAGUAGUUCCAUCCAUCUCCUCUGUCUCAAAUUCAAAUCUUUUUGAGUAAAGACAUACUGUAGGCUACGAUGAUCUGUAUAGACCUCACACUUAACCCCAUAUAAAUAAUGUCUCCAUUGCUUUAAUGCAAACACUACCGCAGCCAAUUUCAAAUCAUGGGUCAGGUAAUUGCGUUCGUGCACCUUCAAUUGCCUUGAAGCAUAAGCAAUUACAUUCUUCUCUUGCAUUAGUACUGCACCCAAACCAGAAUAGGAUGCAUCACAAUAAACAAUGAAGUUCUUACCUUCCACGGGCAAGGUGAGAAUUGGUGCAGUGGUCAACAAAGUCUUGAGCUUCUAAAAGCUUUCUUCACACUCGUCCGACCAUACAAAUGGAACAUUCUGCUUAGUCAAGUUCGUCAAUUGGGAAGCAAUGGAAGAGAAUCCCUUGACAAAUCGAUGGUAAUAGCUAGCUAAACCAACAAAGCUCCUUAUUUCUGACACAUUAGUAGGUCUUACCCAAUUCUUCACUGUUUCAAUCUUAGAAGGAUCCACCAUCACGCCCUCCUUAGACACCACGUGCCCCAAGAAGGACACUGAAUCUAGCCAAAACUCACACUUGGAGAAUUUGGCAUAGAGCUUCUUCUCUCUCAGCAUUUCCAGUACCAUUCUCAAAUGCUCCUCAUGUUCUUUCUUGCUCUUUGAGUAUAUCAGUAUAUCAUCAAUAAAUACGAUCACAAAGAGAUCCAAAUAUGGCUUAAAAAUCCCGUUCAUCAAGCUCAUGAAAGCAGCAGGGGCAUUCGUAAGACCAAAAGACAUCACUACAAACUCGUAAUGCCCAUACCUGGUCCGAAAAGCAGUCUUUGGCACAUCCGUUGCUCGUAUUUUCAAUUGAUGAUAACCGGAUCUCAAGUCAAUCUUAGAGAAGACACAAGCACCUUGUAACUGAUCGAACAAGUCAUCAAUGCGAGGAAUGGGAUACUUGUUCUUAAUAUUUACCUUGUUCAACUGUCUGUAGUCUAUGCACAUCCGAAAACUCCCAUCCUUUUUCUUCACAAAUAAUACCGGAGCACCCCAAGGAGAUGCACUUGGUCUAAUAAAGUCUUUGCUUAGCAAAUCUUGAAGUUGUGACUUUAACUCUCUUAACUCCACAGGAGCCAUUCUAUAAGGGGGUAUAGAAAUGGGGCGAGUACCAGGUUCAAGAUCGAUGCAGAAGUCAAUAUCUCUAUCCGGUGGCAUACCAGGAAGGUCUGCAGGAAACAUAUCUAAAAAUUCGCGGACUAUCGAAACCGACUCAAUUGAAGGUACUUGGGUAGUGUCAUUCCUGAGAUGUGCCAAGAAAGCUAGACAACCCUUACUAACCAUUUUCUUAUCACGAAGAAAGGAGACGAUACGAACCGGAUUGGAAGUGUAGUCGCCCUCCCACACUAACGGAUCUGUCCCAGGCUUGGCUAACGUCACUGUUUUAGCAUUACAAUCCAAGAUCGAAAAAUUCGGAGAAAGCCAAGUCAUACCCAGAAUUACAUCAAAAUCAACAAUUUCUAAGAUAACCAAGUCUAAAUAAGUAUUGUUCCCCACAAAAUUCACCAAACAAGACCUAUAUAUCCUUUCAACUAUUACAGACUCACCCACCGGAGUAGACACACGAAUAGGUAUGCCAAGCAAUUCAUAAUGUAAAUUAAGACCAUUAGCAAAUGAGGAAGAUACAUAUGAAAAUGUGGAGCCAAGAUCAAAUAAUACAGAAUCCAUGCAAUCACAAAUCAAAAGAUUACCUGUGAUAACAACAUCCGAUGUCUCCGCUUCAGACUGCCCAGGGAAGGCGUAACAAUGGGCCCUGUCACCUGUUUGUCCGUUGCCCCUACCAUGUUGUGCUGUAGUGGCUACAGUUUGCCCAUCACCCCGGCCGUUUUGGUGACCACCAUUACCUCGACCACCACGUCCUCCAGAAUGACGGCCUCUUCCAUGACCACCUCUACCUCUGACUAUGGGAGGUCUGUAAUUCUGUUUUGGACAAUACCUCUUGAUGUGUCCAGUCUCCCCACAUCCAUAACAUUCUCUGGAUUCAAGCAUUGGUCUCUGUGAGAAUGACGAAGUCUGGGAAUAACCUCCAACCUCAGAGAAAUGUUGACCGGUCUGAGGUGGACCCCCAACUACAGUCUGUAGUGAGGACUGAAUUGGUCGGACUGAGUAACCUCCUGAACACUGUCCUCUGGAGUAAGAACCAUUAAACUCACCUCCCUUUCGAAACCUUUUUGAUGUCAAUGCCAUGGUGAAGUCAUCUGGCUUCACUCCUUCCACCUCUAUCACGAAGUCCACCACUUCUUGAAAGGAUUUUGCCGUAGCCGCUACCUGUAAGGCUGAAAUCCGCAAUUCUGACCUCAACCCCUUCACAAAACGGCGAAUCCGCUCUUGUGGACUGAAACAAAGUUGGGUGGCAUACCUGGAUAAUGCACGAAACUUAGCCUCAUAUGCCGUAACCGACAUCCUACCUUGCUCUAGGCUCAAGAACUCAUCUCUUUUCUUAUCCCUCAAAGUCCGGGGGAUAUACUUCUCCAUAAACAAGCUAGAGAAUGAUGCCCAAGUCAUAGGUGGUGCCUCUGUUGGUUGACACUCAACAUGCGACCGCCACCAUAUUUUGGCGUUCCCUUGAAACUGAUAAGUCAUAAACUCAACACCAAACCGUUCUACUAUACCCAUCUUGUGUAGUAGCUCAUGACAGUCAACUAGAAAAUCGUAGGCAUCCUCAGAUUCAGCACCCUUGAAGACUGGAGGUUUCAAUUUCAAGAACUUACUGAAAAGUUCAUGCUGAUCAUUUGUCAUUAUCGACCUUGUAGUCAGACGAGGAAACGUGCCUAUUUCCAAUGAGGCAUCCAUGCGGGGAGCCAUAGUAGCCGCAUGUUGUACCUCCGAAACCUGAGGUGCUGGUGCAGAAAACAGUGGAGGUGUCUGACCUUGAUCAGAUAACCCGCUAAGAUAAGAAAGAACCUGAUUGAUCAUCUCUGGGGUAGGUUGGGGUGGAAAUUUCUCAUUCUGUACUUGCUCAUUUUCCCCAUCCUUACCCUCUCUUACUACUUCCUCAGUCGGUGGAGGAGUCACCACCCUAGUACCAGAUGGGCCAGGCGUUCGUCCUCUUCCUCUAGAGGACGUCCUCCCGCGACCUCUACCGCGGUCUCUUGCCACUGCUCCUCUUUGAGCUACAGUCUCAGUGGCUGGCUCAGAUGCAUCUUGUCUUGCUGAUGUUGAUGUUGGCGCGGUUGUUGUUGCUCUAGUUCUAACCAUCUGCGAAAUAGAGUGAAGAUGGUCAGAUACCAAUUUGUAUCACCUAGAUACCAAUUGGAUCCAAGUAAUAGCACGAAAGAAAGAAAGAAAGAAUGAAAUUUUCCUAAAGUCUUAUAGCCUCUCAAAGAAAAGUAAAGGCAUCCCCCUACCGUUCCUUAAGACUCUACUAGACUCGUUCUUGUGUGAUGAGACCAACGAACCUAAUGCUCUGAUACCAAGUUUGUCACGACCCAAAUCGGGUCGCGACUGGCACCCACACUUACCCUCCUAUGUGAGCGAACCAACCAAUCUAAACCUUAACAUUUCAACAUAAUAUCAACAGAAAGUAAUGCGGAAGACUUAAACUCAUAAAUAAAAACCAAUUCAAUAACUUCUAAAAACUCAACAACUAUUAUUAUCCCCAAAAUCUGGAAGUCAUCAUCACAAGAACAUCUACUUCAAAUUACUAAAUCUAAGAGUAUCUAAGAAGCUAAAAUACAUAAACAGCUAGUCCAUGCCGGAACUUCAAGGCAUCAAGACAUGAAGAAGAAGAUCCAGUCCAAGCUAGAAGCGUUAGCUCACCCUGAAAUCCGAUGUAAUGAAGACUGGCUAGAGUUGCGGUUGAGUUGAAGACGACGGUACGUUUGCUGUACUCCACAAAUAACAAAGAAAGAAACAACAAGUAGGGGUCAGUACAAACACAAGUACUGAGUAGGUAUCAUCGGCCAACUCAAAAUAGAAAACAGUAUAUAUCAGAUAACAUCAUAAAAUCAACUAAUAUCCUUAGCAUGCAACAUUUACAAUUACCAUAACCCUUGGUUACAACACCAAGCACAUCAAUGAGGACUCACGCCUCCUCAUCAUACUAAUUUGGGAAUUAGGUUUAUUAGAUUGAGUAUAUUAACAUCUUUCAAGAUUCAUUAUCUUUAUUCCUCUCGUGUCGGUACGUGACACUCCGCUCCUCAUAUACUAUCCUGGUGUCGGAACGUGACACCCGAUCCAUAUUUUAUCCUGGUACCGGAACGUGGCACCCGAUCCAUAUACUAUCCUGGUGCCGAAACGUGACACUCGAUCCAUAUACUAUCCUAGUGUCGGAACGUGAUACUCCGAUCCUCAUAUACUAUCCUGGUACCGGAACGUGGCACCCGAUCCCCUAAUCUCACUACUUUCAUUCAUCAAGCCUUCUUUUACACUAAGGCAUCAUCAUUAACAAAGUAGAUUAGGGUUUCUCAAGAUUUAGGAUUCAAUAGUUUUAUCAUGCUUAUUUUAUCACAAUUACAUAAUCACAUUCGUGCAAGCAUACAAUUAAGCAUAUAGAAGGGUUUACAAUUCUACCCAUACAUAUCAUUCGCUAUUAAGAGUUUACUACGAAUAGUAUAAAAACCAUAACCUACCUCCACCGAAGAUUCGUGAUCAAGCAAGCAAUUUUCUCAAGGCUUUGUUUUCUCUUCGUUUCCCUCUUGUCUCGAUCGAUCCUCUCUCUCUCUCUUCUUGUUCUUUCUAUUUUUCUUAUUCAAACCCUCUUUCCUUUACCCUAAUUAGCAUAUAAUUAAGUAUAAAAUAAUGAUGAAUUAACCCACUAAUUAACUCAAGGUUACCUCUUUUUGCCCCCAAGUAAUUGAGUUAUUAAUAUUAAACCACUAACUUCAUAAUUAUAAGCCGGAAUAGUCCAAAACGCCCCUUAAAAUAAUUACAGAAAUCCGACCCAGCCUGGGAUUACGCAGCUUGUGACGGCCCGUCGUGCCUGCGACGGUCCGUCCUGCUGCUCCGUCACAGAGUUCAGAGACUCAAUUCCCUUAAAGAGUCUGUGACGGUCCGUCCUGCUAUUCCGUUACGAAGUUCAGAGAGUCAAUUUCAGUACCUAUUUUUCAGAAUUUCUAAGUGUUUUGAAAUGAGACCCCCUCGACGGUCCGUCGUGCCCAUGACGGUCCGUCGUGGGAUCCGUCGACUCAGCCAGUUUUUCCAGAAAUAAAAUCUGCUGCUCAAAACGACUAAACAGGUCGUUACAAUAAUUAUCUAACUGUAAAAAAAUAUGAAAGGUUGUUUUUUCAAACCUUAUCAUUAGUAAUAUACUACUGCCAUAAAACUAUAUGCUUUAUAUAUACUAGAUAAGUAUUGCCCAGGCGGAGAACAUGCCAAAUAUGAUAUAUAAUUUGACCUGGUAAUCCUCUAUUAUAGAAAGAAAUUUCAUUCACUUUAAGAUAACUUGAAUCCUAAAUAAUUAUAGAAAGAAAUUUCAGUCACUUUAAGAUAACUUGAAUCCUAAAUAACAAUUGUUACUUACAAAUAAUCAUAAUUUUAGAAACUAUUUACAGUAUGCUCAAUUCCAUAGCUACGUCGUAAUUUAACAUAAAAUCAUAACACACAAUUUUAUAACACGUACAUUCAAGUUUAGUAAAUAUUGCUCCUUUCUAGAAAUUAUUUUGAGAUGUGUACUUUAACAUAAAAGCAACACACAAUUUUAUAACACUUGGUAAAUUUUGCUACUUUCUAGACAUUAUUUUUAGGAUGACAACAUCUUUAGUAUAAUAAUUUAUUGAUGAGACAUUUUUGACAAAAGAUGAUAUAGAAUGAUAUGAAAAAUUUGAUAAGACCUAAUCCAAUCCGACCAUCAGAGAGUUGUUUCAUUAUGUGUAUUUUUUUUAUUUCAGUUAUGCAAGUCGAACCAUGAUAUAAUCUGAAAUUUAAAACCUCAAGGACAUUAUAUGAAUACACAUAAAUAUAUAAAAUAUUUAAUGAGUUAAUGCAUAUUAAAAAUAAAAAAAGCAAAGACAAAAUUUGAUGUUAGAAAUAAAAUAUAAGAAAGCCAUUAUAUAAUGGGAUCAGAUACAUAUUGAAAAUUCAAGGACAAGAUCAAAGAAAGCAGACAGGAAAAAGCUAAAGAAAUUAUAUAAGGUUUUUCAAUGGACCAAAACACUGCACUUCUUUUAGCAUGAUAUAUUUAUUCAAAGGGAAAAUGCACAAUACCCCCUCAAUCUAUGCCGAAAUUUCAGAGACAUAUUCAUACUAUACUAAGAUCCUAUAAUCCCCCUGAAAUUAUUUUACAAAUAAUUUUUUACCCUUUUUCGGCCUACGUGAUACUAGCUUGAAAGAAAAAGUCAACCAGCGUUGGCCUCACAAGACAAUGCCACGUAGACCGAAAAGGGGUAGAAAAUUAUUAAUAAAAUAAGUUCAGAGGGGUAAUAGAUUGAGGGGGUAUUUGUGCAUUAUCCCUUAUUUAAAUUACUAUUUUAUUAAGUUGGACAACCCAACAACAAAACAAUAGAAAAUGCAAAACCGUGACGAUUAAUCACGUCCAGGCAUUGGUGACAAAAUUAGUAAGUAAGAGAGGGAAAAAACAUAGGAUGUUCCAAUAAAAUUUACAACGCUUAAAGUUGAACUAUUAGUGCUAAAGCAAAGUAUAAUUGAAAUGUUAUCCUUAAACAAAGUAUAAUUGAAAUAUUAUCCUUAAACAUAGAAAAUUCUACUUAACUUAAAAGCAAAUUGAUACCUGCAUUCUUCAUGAGGAGGAGUAAAAUUAUCAACUGAAAUGGAGAAUUGACUUGUCCUAGUCUAUUAUUUCAACGAUUGCUGAUAUGUUGAUUGUCAAGAGAUAUUCAAUGAGAAGAACAUAAGAGAAGAAAGAUCAAUAACUAGUUCUAUAGUUCAAAUGACAGUAAGUUUCUUUAUCGAGAAGAUAUUACAAUCUAUCCUUAACAAAUGAACUUAAAAUCAAUCACAUUUACAAAUAUGUGUAUUUUCUUUGGCAGACACGUUCUUAAGAACCAUCAACGGGUCAAAGUUUAGAAUUAUUCCCUCUUGUUAUUCCUCACUUAUCGAAAAGAUAGAAAAUAUUAAAGUCGAAUUGAUGAAUUUAUAGUAGCUUGGAUUCUCAAAUAACACGAGUGGCUUUGUUUAUAUUAACAAUAUAUAUUUCCUUAACACGAGUUUUACACAUAUGUUAUUACCAUUGACCCAAUAUGCAAAGAAAGUGUUGUUCAAAAACAUCCCUAAAUGAUGUCUUAAACAUAAAUUUCAUCAUUCAUUAUCCUUGUUAAGGACAAACAUCUCGGAAAUAAGCAAAUUACAUCCAACAACCUAUCUAAUGCUAAUAUCAACAAUUUGCCCAACCAUACUUUGCACGUAGAGCCUAUCAAACUCCAUUAGAAAGGAAAACAUCCAUUGAAACCUAUUAAUCAAGUUUUCAUAUGAUUUUUCUCAUUGAGAAAGCAAAUGAAAAAGUUAGGCCUUUUAUGUUUUUCUUUUGUUCUGUUAAAUUGUCGUCUCUCGACCUUUAGAAUUUGAUAUAUUAUGUAAAUAGCCAAAUAAUAGAAUCAUCAACAUAUAACUGUAAAGACAAGUAAUAAGCUUGAUUAGGCAUUUCUAGCAAAAAAUUUCAAAAGUAAAAUCAUGAAAGAAAACGAAUACAUUAUAGGCAUUUCAAAACUAAAUCAAAGAGUCUAUUCAAGCAUUUUACUAAAACAUAUAGUAGGAAUUUCUUAGUCGUACUUGAUGAGUAAAGCAUAACAAUAACAUGGCCAUUGGAACACAGAGUGAGCAAGAUUGAAAAAAAGAGGAACAUAUAAGCAAUAUUCAGAGAAUUUUAGGGAAAGAAAAAUCACAUUGUGAUUUAACUUUCAAAUUUCAUCAACACAAUUGUUUUUCUUAAAGCUCAUAAGAAAAUCAAGGAGAAAACAUAUAAAGGAGAAAACCUAAGGAAUGAAUUUAAAAUAAUUGAAGAGGAAGACCCAAUUGUUUUUCUUAAAGCUCAUAA
rnacentral:lncRNA from 1 species